AUAGCACAUUUUCAGGUCCUUGCAUAGGCUGGGGGGCCAGGAUUUGGUGGCUGGUACUGAGAGAAAACCUUUGUUGCGUCCUCGCCUUGGGAUUGUGCCAGGGAACCACACCCGUCCCUCACUGGGCCAGAG
rnacentral:snoRNA from 1 species